rnacentral:rRNA from 1 species
AACGAACGCUGGCGGCAUGCCUAACACAUGCAAGUCGAACGAGUCCUUCGGGUCUAGUGGCGCACGGGUGCGUAACGCGUGGGAACCUGCCCUUAGGUUCGGAAUAACUCCCCGAAAGGGGUGCUAAUACCGGAUAAUGUCUUCGGACCAAAGAUUUAUCGCCUUUGGAUGGGCCCGCGUUGGAUUAGCUAGUUGGUAGGGUAAAAGCCUACCAAGGCGACGAUCCAUAGCUGGUCUGAGAGGAUGAUCAGCCACACUGGGACUGAGACACGGCCCAGACUCCUACGGGAAGCAGCAGUGGGGAAUAUUGGACAAUGGGCGAAAGCCUGAUCCAGCAAUGCCGCGUGAGUGAUGAAGGCCUUAGGGUUGUAAAGCUCUUUUACCCGGGAUGAUAAUGACAGUACCGGGAGAAUAAGCUCCGGCUAACUCCGUG